UACGAAGGAUGCAAGCGUUAUCCGGAUUUAUUGGGUUUAAAGGGUGCGUAGGCGGUCUUAUAAGUCAGUGGUGAAAUCUCGUUGCUUAACAACGAACGUGCCAUUGAUACUGUAGGUCUUGAGUACAGAUGCCGUUGGCGGAAUGUGUCAUGUAGCGGUGAAAUGCAUAGAUAUGACACAGAACACCGAUUGCGAAGGCAGCUGACGAAACUGUAACUGACGCUGAGGCACGAGAGCGUGGGGAUCAAACAGG
rnacentral:rRNA from 1 species